GAUGAACGCUGGCGGCAUGCCCAAUACAUGCAAGUCGAACGAGAGGAAGGAAAGCUUGCUUUUCUGAAUCUAGUGGCGAACGGGAGAGUAACACGUAGGUAACCUGCCCAUGUGCCCGGGAUAACUUCUGGAAACGGAUGCUAAAACCGGAUAGGUAGCAGACAAGCAUUUGACUGCCAUUAAAGUGGCUAAGGCCAUGAACAUGGAUGGACCUGCGGUGCAUUAGCUAGUUGGUGAGGUAACGGCCCACCAAGGCGACGAUGCAUAGCCGGCCUGAGAGGGCGGACGGCCACAUUGGGACUGAGACACGGCCCAAACUCCUACGGGAGGCAGCAGUAGGGAAUUUUCGUCAAUGGGGGGAACCCUGAACGAGCAAUGCCGCGUGAGUGAGGAAGGUCUUCGGAUCGUAAAGCUCUGUUGUAAGAGAAAAACGACAUUCAUAGGGAAUGAUGAGUGAGUGAUGGUAUCUUACCAGAAAGUCACGGCUAACUACGUGCCAGCCGCCGCAGUAA
rnacentral:rRNA from 1 species